AUGAGCACAGGAUUCAGCGCAGAGAUCUUUGUGCAGAAGCUUGCGAAGCUUAAUAUUGCACAACAGAGUAUAGAGACUUUAUCACACUGGUGCAUCUUCCAUCAUCGUUGUUGCCAGGAAGUUGUUGCCAUAUGGAAUAAAGAUUUUCACUCAGCUCCUCAAGAGAGAAAGAUAUCUUUGCUGUACCUUGCAAAUGAUAUUAUGCAGAAUAGUAAGAAGGAUGGCAUGAGAUAUAUACAUGAGUUCUUGAAGGUCAUCGCUGCUGCCUUAGAUGACCUGUUCACCAAUGGUGAUGAUUUUGGACGAAAUGUUGUAAAAAGACUGGUUGACAUAUGGGAAGAUCGCAAGUUGUUUGGCACCCAAGGACAACUCCUAAAGGAAGAAUACACCCGCAAAUUUAAGGAGCUAAAGUCAAAAAAACCAGGUGGAGAGCUGGUGGAGAAGGUUAUAUCGAGCUACAAGCAUAUGCUGCGGGCACCUGUAGAUGAGGCCAAGUUGAUGAGAGAAUGCAACAGUGCUCUAAGCUUUGUUGACAACCUGAACAAAGAGUACGGAAAUUCGUACUUAGGGAGCAGCAAUGGAUAUAGCUUUGUGGAGGAGCUGAAGGAACAACAUAGUAUUCUGAGAAACACCAUUGAACGAUUCAAAAUGUCUGAAUCACUCAGGGCCACUCUGGUAUCUGAUUUGAAGGAAGCACUCCAUGAGCAGAGUAAUAGAAAUGCUUUACAACGUAAACACAUCAAUGCAGCUCAGGUCAGAUAUAGGAAAGCUGAUGACCUCUGCCAGAAGCUCGGAAUAGAUGUACCAAGGCACGAGCCAUCUAAUGGGGUUUCAGCUAAUGCUAAUUCUGUCGAGAAGGGACGGUCGACUGCAGUGAUGUAUUCACGGGAAGGAGAUGGAGGUGAGCCUGAGACCCUCAACGGCGGUUUUUCUUCACGAGCCACCAGGGACAACUUUGAGCAGAAAAUAGAAGGGCACCCUCCUGUUACUAAGAGGCAGAAGAUAGAGAAUGGUAUAUCUGUUCCUCAGCCUGAAGCACCCCCACCGCCACCCCCACUCCCGUAUCCUGAUACAUUUGAACAUCCACCACCACCGCCUCAGUAUCCUCCAUCACCAGAGUCUAGCCCACCACCACUUCCACCUUCAAUGCCGCCCCCAAUCCCACCACCACCACCACCUUCUACAGAUGCAUUUAUGCCAGUUCCUGCUCUUCCAAUGGGAGGAAUGCCAUAUUUCCCACCGUUUCCUCCACCUGUAAACUAUCCCAUGAUCAACAUGCCACCGCCUUUCCCUGGUGCCCCAAACCCUCCUCACCCAGGUUUCCUUGGAUUUGGGGGUCCCUUCUAUGGCCCGCCUUUCCCCUCGGCCCCCCACCAAUGA
rnacentral:rRNA from 1 species